rnacentral:lncRNA from 1 species
GUACAUCUCACAUAAGAAGUUCCAAACUGUCAAUUUAUGUGGGUCAUUUGGUUAGGUGAAACAUUUAUUGGCUAAUCAACAAACCACAGGAACGCGUAAACAUCCACUUGAAUAUAUCGCUGCUGUAUUUUAUCUGGUGACGAAGACAUCACAAGUCACAGCUUUGAAGAGGAUUUGACAUCAAGGAGCGGUUGGAGAUCUGAUCUACCGGCCUUUGAGGCAGGAUCCAUGUGGAAAGGAAGUCAGCAGGAAGAACUAGAAGGACUUAACUGGCUGGAAGACGUCUCUGUCCCAUCUCUUCAAGCCUGGAGUCCCUGUGUUCUCUCCGCAUUCAAGCCUGCUCUCAGGAGAUGGUGCCUUGUCCAGGAAACCUGCAGCGGUUACAUAACAAAGCAGAGGUCCUCUAUUCCAGCAAUCCAGCCCCGAGUCUGGAGAUGUUCCUAAGUACCUUCCUGAGCAUUUGGGCGUGACCUCACCAGUUUUCUGAGAAGACUUGGUCUUGCUGGAAGCACCGUGGGAAUGUGGGUGGCCUCCAGUGUCAGAGGACAAGGUGAACGCUGUACUCUAUUUUCAUAAUGAACUGCCAUCUUUGUGGAAAUACAGCCUGAAAUCUGUAGCAUACAUAUUUUUCUAGAAACAAGAAUAUCUGUGCUUCUAUUAUAUAAGUCCCGGCAUAAUAAAUUUUCAUAACUUUUUAAAAUGUAAAGUUGAAUAGAAAGAGACUAGAGAGAAAAAAUGGAUACAAAGCUUUCAUAAAUAAGAAGGAGAAGAAGGUUUGAAGGGAGGGGAGAGGAAUGGGAAAAAAAGAAGAAUCAAGAUACAGUGUAU